GGAAACUGGAGCCGUGGUUCUCACAGAUGAAUCAUCCGGCUCAUUGGUGACACCUGGACUGCAGAGAUUUACCCGGAUUCUCAAAUUCUCUGCUCAGACUCUCCCCCGAGUUCAUGCCUGCUCUGCCCAGUUUAGCUGAGCACCACGGGGGGGCCACAUUCCCGCUUGCUUUUCAACAUUGCUUAUUGGCAGGACACACCUGAUCCAGAUCAUCAAAUCUAGAAAAUUAACUUGAAACACCUUCAAAGGUUUCCUGAGCCUUUAAUGGUCUCUUAGUCUGGGUCAGUGGACACUGGAAUCAUGGAAUGCUCUUGGACGCUGUCUGGAGGACUUUGUGACUAUCAAACGGCUACAUUCUCUCCAUCCUGAGUCACUGCUUUUCAGGGUCCACUUUUGCUUAUCUGGAUUGGACAUGAAGGAUAUGACAAACAUCAAAGACAGGACAGGAAGACCAUCUGAAAGGCCAGAGAGAUCGGGGGACUGAUAAACAGCGGCUUCAGUUGGGACACGAGUUAAAAGGCAUGACUGGUCCUUAAUACAGCUGAGUGUAGCGAGUUGAUGCUUUGCUGUGGGUAUUGUGCAUUCUUCACCCAUAAUUCCAAGCACCUGGGUGAAACAGAAGAUGACCAGGCUCACUAUCUACCAGGAAAUCCAACAGCACUUCCAGCUGCCCCCUGCUGACAAGUUAUGUGCAGAUGCUGAUUUGAUGUUCCUGCAGGACUCCAGGACCUGUGGACUUGACCACACUGGUACCAAAAAGUGACCACUGUGUUGCUGUGUUUGAUUGGUCUGAUGACUUGAAUCUUUGACUGUGAAACAGAGUGACACCAGAACUGAAGGCAGCUGUUAAAGCAACUUGUUCUAGGUGUACACCCCACCCCCAACAGGACAUUGGAUAGGGUUCAGCAAUCAAUAAUAUCAAUCAAUAAUAAAGUGUCUUUCAGAGUAAUAUAGUGUCUUUCUACAUCAAGGAGUAGCUCUAAAAAUGGCUUCAGACAAAAGUCGGACCCCAUUGAAGGCCAGCUGAAGGAUUCUUUUUGUCCUUAUGAUGUUAAGAUCGCGUAAAUACUGUUUUUCUAUAACGUGUAUAUGGGUUAUGACACCAACUCCAUUAUGCUUGGUUUGUGGUGAGAAGCAAUCAAACAACACUAUGGCGCCAAACAAAUUUGAACUUUACCUCCUCUCUUCAAGCACCCAACCCUUCAAAACAAGCUGCAGACUAUUUUGUGAGACUGAGAUGUGCAAAGCUGGCAUCCCUGUCUGACACAGUUUAUCAUCUGAAUGAAAGGAAUGUCCAAACCUGCCAUAUUCUUGAGGAGAAACAUGUCAUUACAUUUAAUGUCUCUUCGGUCUUCAUAGAUGCUCUGAGUUUCUCAGGGACCGGUCCAGCUCAGCACCAGGAGUUGGAGAGGACAUGACCUAAACAGCUAAAGCUGAAACAAGAACGUUGUUCAAAGCUAAAGUUUGAUAAUCGUCAUUGGGACAGUUUUGAGUAAAUGCUAACAUUCUGGCCACAAAGCUAUUUGGACAUUGCUUCACUUCCUGUGAUCUCCACUGUUUCAAGUCUGACUGUGAUGAAGCUAAAAUCAGAGCGAGGCUGCAAAGGAACAGCUUUCUUUGUCUUUCGCCUUCACUUCCCAGGAUAUCAGUUUGUCUAACAGUAUUACUGUGAAUUAUUAUCUUUAAUUCAGAGUUUGUACCAACAACUAUGUUCUAAAUUAUAAGUCUUCAGAGUGUCACUUUGUGUCAUUUUAUGGUGUGAGCCACAAUUAUAUCAGCGCAAAAACAGAUCCAGAAGGCCUGCUGUAAAUGAUAAACUGGAACUUGGUGUUUGUGUUUGUGUGUCAGCUGAGCCACAAGCACCGCAGACCUAAUUUGUAGAUUAAGUUACCAACAGCAAUGAUUGAAAGGCGCUGAAGAAUCAAAAUUCAUCACAUUUGUUUAAUAAUAACUCUUUGAGACACAGGAAGACAAAAAAGGGGGCAAAGACAAAGAGAAGAUGCAGAGAGGAAGUGAUGAUGAGGAGCACGCUGAUAUAUUUGCUUGUCAGAACUCAUUGAGGCUUGACUGCUGACACACUCCUACACACACUGUUGUACACGCACACACGCACAAAAUGGUUUUAAUUGCAGGAUCUCAUUUCAGAUCUGAUUAAUUACUCGCUCACGCUUGACGAAGAAAAUCAGCAACAAAACUAAAGGGAUUAACACACAGACGCAUGCGCACAUGCACAUGCACAUGCACAUGCACACAGACUCAGAAUCAUUCAUGUCACUGGCUUCGAUUUCCUAAACGUAUAAUGUAUGAAAAGAGACACGUGAAAUAUGAGGACCUUUUUUCAGCACUUUGAGUUUUCAACAAGUCAAAAAGAAGAAAAUAAACUUUUUUAGAUUUU